UACGAAGGGGGCUAGCGUUGUUCGGAUUUACUGGGCGUAAAGCGCACGUAGGCGGUAUUGUUAAGUCGGGGGUGAAAUCCUGGAGCUCAACCUCCAGAAUUGCCUUCGAUACUGGCUUCUAGAGGCUGGAAGAGGUUAGGUGGAAUUCCCGAGUGUAGGAGGUGAAAUUCGUAGAUAUUGGGAAGAACACCAGGUGGCGAA
rnacentral:rRNA from 1 species